rnacentral:piRNA from 1 species
ACCAAUUGAACGAAAUGUGCUCC